rnacentral:misc_RNA from 1 species
AAGACUAUAGACCUGCGGAGUACCUGCGGAAGGAUCAUUACCGAGUUAUUACUCCAAACCCUUUGUGAACCUUACCAUUGUUCUGUUGCCUCGGCGGGGUUGGCCCCUAAAGCCUCUCCCGCCGGCAGCACUAAACUCUUGAAUUUUAUAGCGGAUUAUACUUCUGAAUAAAAUACAAAACAAAUAAAAACUUUUAACAACGGAUCUCU